rnacentral:rRNA from 1 species
AUUCCAGCUCCAAUAGCGUAUAUUAAAGUUGUUGCAGUUAAAAAGCUCGUAGUUGGACUUCUGAUGUGGAGGGACGGUCCGCCUCACGGUGAGCACUGAUUCUCUGCGUCUUCCUCUCGUAGUCUUUUGGCGCACUUAGUUGGGUGCCUUGAGAAUAUGGGACCUUUACUUUGAAAAAAUUAGAGUGUUCAAAGCAGGCAAUCGCUUGAAUACAUUAGCAUGGAAUAAUAGAAUAGGACUUUGGUUCUAUUUUGUUGGUUUCUAGGACCGAAGUAAUGAUUAAUAGGGACAGUUGGGGGCAUUAGUAUUUAAUUGUCAGAGGUGAAAUUCUUGGAUUUAUGAAAGACUAACUACUGCGAAAGCAUUUGCCAAGGAUGUUUUCAUCA